GAUGAACGCUGGCGGCGUGCCUAAUACAUGCAAGUCGAGCGAACAGACGAGGAGCUUGCUCCUCUGACGUUAGCGGCGGACGGGUGAGUAACACGUGGAUAACCUACCUAUAAGACUGGGAUAACUUCGGGAAACCGGAGCUAAUACCGGAUAAUAUAUUGAACCGCAGGGUUCAAUAGUGAAAGACGGUUUUGCUGUCACUUAUAGAUGGAUCCGCGCCGCAUUAGCUAGUUGGUAAGGUAACGGCUUACCAAGGCAACGAUGCGUAGCCGACCUGAGAGGGUGAUCAGCCACACUGGAACUGAGACACGGUCCAGACUCCUACGGGAGGCAGCAGUAGGGAAUCUUCCGCAAUGGGCGAAAGCCUGACGGAGCAACGCCGCGUGAGUGAUGAAGGUCUUCGGAUCGUAAAGCUCUGUUAUUAGGGAAGAACAAAUGUGUAAGUAACUAUGCACGUCUUGACGGUACCUAAUCAGAAAGCCACGGCUAACUACGUG
rnacentral:rRNA from 1 species